AAUACCGUCAGGUUCCUUUGGGCCUCUGGUCACAGUAUUGUCCUCAAUCAUGGCAUAAGUUCAUUUUACGUGUGUUUCUGCCCGAAGACACCUUAUUAGGUGUCCAUGACUAAUAUGGGUCGUGGAUCAUCAACAUUGAGCCCACGGCCACCACUGCUGUUAACUCGUGCCUGAAGGAAGCUUAGCUAACUCGUGUUUUCUCUGUAAGGCACAUCACAGCUUUCUGGGGCUUAGGAAGGCCAACCAGCACUCCAGCACCAUCACUGGGGGGAUUUUAAACAGCGAAAUCACCAACAGAAAGAAAAAAAAAAGCAAAAAACACAGAACUAUAUGGACCACAGAAAGGAUACUUGUUCACAAUAUGAGCUGAAACAGUUAGGCAGGGGUCGCCUUAUUGAGCCUCAGCUAGGAAUGUGUACAUCGGGCAAGUCUAAAUUGUCACGGCUCUAGGCACGUCUGUGAAUGACCACAGUGGCUUCGUGAGCACUGAUUUGGGCAUUACGGGUACACUUCAGACAGUAGGGGUACUCGUAAGUACGAAAGCCAGAGCGAGGAUCAACUGUGUUUCUCUUUGCAAGCACUAGGUUUCAUCUCACUGAGCCACCAUGUAAGUCACACUUGGAAAGGCCAUGCUCUUUCCUGCCACACCACCAACUACAAAACCUCGAUAAGGAAAAAUUCAUCGCAAAACAGACACACCCUCAGAAAUGAGCUAACCACUGGCCUGGACAGAACAAGGAUGUCAAGGCUGAGUGCUGCUGAAGGCCCUGUCCUGCUGCACCUGGGACAGGCGCUGGAGAAGCUGUGUGGGGACCCACACUGGAUGGAGUGCAGGACCCGAGAGGACCCAGAGGACAGAGUUUUCUGCCUGGAGAUCUUUCUCUCUCAGGACCGACCACCAACUCUAUACGUGUUCAGCGCUCAGUACUGGCGCAGUGUAUCCGAACACAAGCACCGUCUACACCUAUACCGAAUUCCCAGAUCCUAGUCCGCGCAGAAGAAGCAAAGUGGUUCUCUCACCGAGGGACUGACCUACUGGCCGUUCUCACCUGCCCGUGGACCCCCCACUGCCGUCCAUCCUGCAGUCGCCUCUGCCAUCCCCGCCAUGCUGCUUGAGGCACAGCUGUGGCUGGGGGGGUGCUCCCAGCCCCUCUGGCCCCCAGGGACCCAGCACCCUGCACCUGGGGGACAGGUCUGCUGUAAACACGCUGCUUCCCCUGGGUGCUCCUGAGGCUACCAGCUCACCACAGCCCCGUCUCUUCCCCCGAGCUACUCUGUCAAGGUCUCAGGAUGCUGACUCCCCAGUAUGGGAAACAUCACGAGGCAGAGACCACACACAACGGUGUUAUGUUAUUUGGGUCCCCAACAUGUGGCUGGGUCUCACACACAGCUGGCACAGAGGGCCCGUCAAGGAGUAUGUGUGGGCCAUCUGGACCGUGGGCUACGGCAGCCUUUCAAGAAAUGAUUUCAGACUCACCAUCAAAAACCAUCUUCCUUCUGAAGAAACAUUUCCCAAGGCCCAGCACCUGGGGCAUAGGCCUUGCCCGCCUAAGGAUAUAUCCUUGUCCUGGUCGAGGCCUGAUCCCUGCAAGCCCUGGGUCUCUGUGCAACCGUAGUGGGCUCUGCACACCUGGGCGUCACCAAGGGCAGACAGAGCUCCACAUGCCCUUGACUGAGACCACUGGCCUCGAGCAAACAGCAUGUACCAGUGAGCGUCCCAUGUCACCCCAGGAAGCCUCUUGAGACCGACGGGGACGCGCCAGUCCCAAGACUGGAGCCAGGAGACUUGAGUCCUGGCUGCUCAGUGCCCAGGAGACCCAGCCAUGGACACGUGGAGGGAAACCACCUCCUGAGGGGACCUAGGACCCUCAGGGCAGGGAGCUCAGCAAUUAUUUUAGGCUUCUGGUCUUUGAAUAACCAGAAAGAUGCU